GCCCGCUUAGCUCAGUUGGUAGAGCGCACGCUUCACACGCGUGAAGUCAGAAGUUCGAGUCUUCUAGCGGGCACCA
rnacentral:tRNA from 1 species